AGCGAACGCUGGCGGCAGGCCUAACACAUGCAAGCCGAACGAAGUCUUCGGAGUUAGUGGCGGACGGGUGAGUAACACGUGGGAACGUACCUUUUGGUUCGGAACAACUCAGGGAAACUUGAGCUAAUACCGGAUGAGCCCUUAGGGGGAAAGAUUUAUCGCCGAAAGAGCGGCCCGCGUUAGAUUAGCUAGUUGGUGAGGUAAAGGCUCACCAAGGCUACGAUCUAUAGCUGGUCUGAGAGGAUGAUCAGCCACACUGGGACUGAGACACGGGCCCGGCUCAUCCGGGAGGCAGCAUUGGGGAAGCUUUGGCAAGGGGCGCAACCCCGACGCAGGCAGGCCGCGUGAAUGAUGAAGGACUUAGGAUUGUAAAAUUCUUUUACCAGGUACGAUAAUGACGGUACCUCGAGAACAAGCCCCGGCUAACUCUGUGCCAGCCGUCGCAGUAGCAC
rnacentral:rRNA from 1 species